rnacentral:rRNA from 1 species
CGUGUAGGCGGUCUGUUAAGUCAUGUGUGAAAUCCCUCGGCUCAACCGGGGAACGACGCAUGAAACUGACAAGCUAGAGUACCAAAGAGGGGGUGGAAUUCCCGGUGUAGCGGUGAAAUGCGUAGGUAUCGGGAGGAACACCGGUGGCGAAGGCGGCCCCCUGGUUGGAUACUGACGCUGAGACGCGAAAGCGUGGGGAGCAAACA